rnacentral:rRNA from 1 species
AUUGAACGCUGGCGGCAUGCCUUACACAUGCAAGUCGAACGGUAACAGGUCUUCGGAUGCUGACGAGUGGCGAACGGGUGAGUAAUACAUCGGAACGUGCCUAGUAGUGGGGGAUAACUACUCGAAAGAGUGGCUAAUACCGCAUGAGAUCUACGGAUGAAAGCAGGGGAUCGCAAGACCUUGUGCUACUAGAGCGGCCGAUGGCAGAUUAGGUAGUUGGUGGGAUAAAAGCUUACCAAGCCGACCAUCUGUAGCUGGUCUGAGAGGACGAUCAGGCCAAAUGGGACUGAGAACCCGCCCAAAAUUCCACGGGGGGCCGGAAGUGGGAAAUUUUGGACAAUGGGCGCAAGCCUGAUCCAGCAAUGCCGCGUGCAGGAUGAAGGCCUUCGGGUUGUAAACUGCUUUUGUACGGAACGAAAAGCCCUGGGUUAAUACCCUGGGGUCAUGACGGUACCGUAAGAAUAAGCACCGGCUAACUACGUGCCAGCCGCCGCAGUAA